CGUUGGGGCUUGCUCCAAGUUAGUGGCGAACGGGUGAGUAAUACAUCGGAACGUACCGUGUAGGUGGGGAUAACGUAGCGAAAGUUACGCUAAUACCGCAUACGAUCUACGGAUGAAAGCAGGGGGACCUUCGGGCCUUGUGCUAUACGAGCGGCCGAUGUCUGAUUAGCUAGUUGGUGAGGUAAAGGCUCACCAAGGCGACGAUCAGUAGCGGGUCUGAGAGGAUGAUCCGCCACACUGGGACUGAGACACGGCCCAGACUCCUACGGGAGGCAGCAGUGGGGAAUUUUGGACAAUGGGCGAAAGCCUGAUCCAGCCAUGCCGCGUGUCUGAAGAAGGCCUUCGGGUUGUAAAGGACUUUUGUCAGGGAGCAAAACUUACUGGUUAAUACCCGGUGAGGCUGAGAGUACCUGAAGAAUAAGCACCGGCUAACUACGUGCCAGCAGCCGCGGUAAUACGUAGGGUGCAAGCGUUAAUCGGAAUUACUGGGCGUA
rnacentral:rRNA from 1 species